rnacentral:rRNA from 1 species
AGAGUUCGAUCCUGGCUCAGGAUGAACGCUGGCGGCGUGCCUAACACAUGCAAGUCGAACGGAGUCCAGCCUUUAAGACCUUCGGGUCAAAGAGGGGAAGACUGAGUGGCGGACGGGUGAGUAACACGUGGGCAACCUGGCUCAUAGAGGGGGAUAACAGAGAGAAAUUUCUGCUAAUACCGCAUAAGCACACACUGCCGCAUGGCAGAGGGUGAAAAGAGAAUCGCUAUGAGAUGGACCCGCGUCUGAUUAGCCAGUUGGCAGGGUAAGAGCCUACCAAAGCGACGAUCAGUAGCCGAUCUGAGAGGAUGAACGGCCACAUUGGGACUGAGACACGGCCCAAACUCCUACGGGAGGCAGCAGUGGGGAAUAUUGGACAAUGGGGGCAACCCUGAUCCAGCAAUUCUGUGUGCACGAAGAAGGUUUUCGGAUUGUAAAGUGCUUUCAGCAGGGAAGAAGAAAGUGACGGUACCUGCAGAAGAAGCGACGGCUAAAUACGUGCCAGCAGCCGCGGUAAUACGUAUGUCGCGAGCGUUAUCCGGAAUUAUUGGGCAUAAAGGGCAUCUAGGCGGCCGGGUAAGUCCGGGGUGAAAACUGCUGGCUCAACCAGCAGCCUGCCUUGGAAACUACCCGGCUUGAGUGCUGGAGAGGUGGACGGAACUGCACGAGUAGAGGUGAAAUUCGUAGAUAUGUGCAGGAAUGCCGAUGAUGAAGAUAGUUCACUGGACGGCAACUGACGCUGAAGUGCGAAAGCUAGGGGAGCGAACAGGAUUAGAUACCCUGGUAGUCCUAGCUGUAAACGAUGAUUACUGGGUGUGGGCAUGAAGAGUGUCCGUGCCGAAGCUAAUGCGAUAAGUAAUCCGCCUGGGGAGUACGGCCGCAAGGCUGAAACUCAAAGGAAUUGACGGGGACCCGCACAAGCGGUGGAGCAUGU